UGAACCGAUUAAACGAAAUUGGUUCUGUUCGAUUUGUUUUAAACCAAAAAAUGCACUCUUAGAUAAUGUAAUUCAAACUAUCUCAUUUUUCCUUCUCUCAACUAUUUCUCAAUGCGUGCCACACAUUAAUUCCUUACUGAGUUUAUCUUUGUAUGUUCACACAUCCAUUUUAGUUCUCUUGUUUUUUCAUGCUAAUCUGGGGAAUGUGUUGUUUCUUCACCGCUCAAUGCUCG
rnacentral:misc_RNA from 1 species